CAGCUACAGAAAGUGUGUGAGGUUCCAGUGGCAGUGUCUGCCUAAAAGCAGAGCUGCCCCCAUAAACACAGGUGGGGCACCAAUCUCUGGCAGGUAUGCUGUUCCAGGGAAGCAGCCCACAGGUUCACCAGUGACACUGCAGUUGGGAUUAUGCCCACAGAAUCAACAUCUGAGCUUCUAAUUUUCUAAGGAUUCGUUUUGUUAUCUUCUCCUUGACCCAAAGUCAGCCCUCUCUUUUACAGAAUCACAGGCAGGGACUUGUCUGUGAAGCCAGCUCCUGAUGGGCACAGCUGUUGCAACUGCUGAAGGUUCCUCUGUUCCCCCACUUUGCUGCGCACAACACUGCUCUGUUUUCUUCUUAUUUUGAUAGAAGAGACAUUUCAGCUCUGCAAGUGAGAAUAUGGAGGAAUGCAGCUCGCAGGCAAGCUGAACCAAUACAACAGAAUGACACAGGAGGCGAGACAGGACUGUGGACUCACGCUACAAACUAAGUGCCAUCAAUCUCUCUACCAGAAAACAGCUGGCACUGAAAACGGAGCCGAUGACACACUGGACAUGGCUACUGACUGAGCCCAACUGACUGAUCUACUCAGUGCUCAUCUGUGGGCUGAGGAGAUGAAGACAAGUACUAGAGAAGUGGAAGAUUGGAGGUCUCAUCUCUGUCCACGUGCCAGAGCCCAGACCUGCCUUGUAUGGUAUGUUAGAGGCCUCAUUGAAGAAGAAAUACACUACUGUGAAGUAAUGUGUGGGCAAAACAUUCAUUUCUCCUUUGGCUUCCAGUCUUUAUCAAAAUUCCUAUACUCACUACUGUCUCUCAUCUAGGUCUGGCAUUCCCCUAUUUAUACUGUGUGCACUUCUAAACACCACAUUAUCUAGAUAGAAAAAGAGCAAUGUCAAAUUAACCUCCAGACCUGCCUGUUCACUAAUCCACAGAGCAGCUGUUACUCCUCACUUGCAGCUCAUUGAAGCUCCCUGUGUUAUUUCUUGGCAGUUUUCAUCUCCUGAAAAGUUCCUGAGUACACAAAGCCCACACUGGCACCAUCCCUAGAUAUCAUAUAAAAUGCGCUCAUUUACUCCAGCUGCUGAUUUGGCCCUCAUAUUCUUGGUUUAGAUCCCACUCCAUAUGUUCCCUGUAGAAGAAUGUUUUGGAGCUUUUUUUGCUUCUUAGAAACCCACUUGUUUCAGACUCUGAAACACGAGGAACAACAUAUAAGAUCAGAAGAUCCUUGACUCCAGCAGUGACCUCCUCAUUGACUUUGAGAGGGAAACAACCAGCUUUCACAUUGAACAUGAUCUGUGUAAGAAGCAGUUAUUUGUGGAGAAAAUGAAGAAUCACGUCCUUGACACCAAUUACUCCAGCAAACUAACAGCAUAUCUGGGAUAAUUUCAAGGCUUACCAUGUAUGUGGACAAGUGCAUGAACAAAUUUUUGUCCUAGCCUGAAAUAUUUACCUGUGCCAGUAAAUACAGAGGUCGCCUAAGGUGCAGAGAGUCCUGGUAUAAAGGAAAGGAGUUCAACUAUUCAGUGCAAUAUUAAAAACUAGAUAGCAGAAAAAAUGUUCCUCUAUGUCACACUAGAAGUCAGAUUUGCUCUAAUCGUAAUCUUACUCAAGUCAGUUUGCUUUUUUAUGGUGUAAGGGACAAUUGUUUAUUUUAUAUUAAAUUCAGAUCUCAGCUGUGGAGCAGUGAUAGAGAGUAUAAUGUCUGAAAACUCAGUUGCAUUUAAAAACAAAGAUUAUGGCUUCUUUAACCUUCAGAAACUAUAUUCUAUUAUAAAACCAUGUUAGUUACCUGCUGUAAAUAUACUAAAAAUCAACAUCAGAUAAAUACAAGAUGCAUCAAAAGAUUUAAGGCACCUGUUGUGUAUUUAGAAGAAUUAUAUCUUGUUUAUGGUACAGUAUAAAAUGCACAGCUGAUUUAUAUAACAGCUAGUCUAUUGCAGGGGAAAUCUCAUUUCAAUCAUAAAUGGCAGAAGUUGAUUUAAGAAUUCAUUCUUUAAUGGGUCUGCAAUGUUCAAAUUUAAACUCAUUCAAUUCAUCAACAAAAUAUUCAAUAUGGAGCACAGGAAACUCAUUUAGGCAAACAGCGACUUUUAAUAUAAAUUUUCCAGGAGAUUUCUUCAUUGAUUCAGCAGUUUAGUGCAAAAUGAUUUGUGCGAUACAUUCUCAAGGAUCAAUGCAGGCCAAGUCAAUGGCUAAUAUAAAACAAUCAUCCCACCGACUACAGAGAACGUGUCAAUGAACUUUGACUUCACAUUGAACUGCUCUGUGGAAAGCAGAAGGAAGUCUGAUCAAAAUUAAUCGUGACUUCUCUCCCUUAUCUUUACCCAUUCUCCAUUGUGAUUGUUUGUAUUGCAACAUAACUUGGAAACUUCAUUCAGGACCAGAGCCCUGUAGCAUUGGGUUCUGCAGAAACACGUGACAAUCCCACCUUGCCCUUAAAAAUUGAUCUCAUUCUCCUCACUUCUCAUAGUGUGUGCCAACAUCUCAUGGAAAUGUGCAAAUUACAAGAGUCCAAGCCACUAUAGAAUGAACCACAGAACUUCUGUGAGGCUCAUGAGACUCAAAUCUCCUUUGGACAAGGCAAAAAUAUGGGGACUCUAAUAGUGAGUCAGCAAGGUGCAUCUUCAUUCUUUGUGUAGUUAGGGGUCUCCCCCUGAGGGGUCUUGGAGGUCAUUUUGCAGGACCAAGGCCUAAGAGCAUGUUCAGGCAAUGGAAGCAGGAAUGGUAGCCUGGGGAGAAUCUGGACAUGGCACUGAAGUCAAGGCACUGAUGGAACUAGGUGAUGGACAUGAAAAAAAAACCAACAAAAGCACAAAACAAGAAGGAAUUCUAUAAGUAUAUUGGUCAGAAGAGGCAAAAGAGAAAGGGAGAAAUGAAUAGCUGGGAAAAUGUAGGUCAGUGAGCCUCACCUCUGGGCCUAGGAAGAUCAUGGAGCAGAUCCUCCUGGAAGAGGCGUUAAGGCACAUGUGAGACAAGUAGGUGACCUGAGACACCCAGCAUGGCUACACCAAAGGCAGAUUGUACCCAACCAAACUGAUGGCCUUCUAAAAUGCUGUGACAGCAUCAGUGGGCAAAAGAAGGGCAACUGCUGUUGUCUACCAAGACAUGUGCAAGGAUUUUGAAGUGGUCCCCCACAUUCCCCUAAAUCUAAAUUGAAGAAACAUGGAUUUGAAGGCUGGACUAUUCAGAAGAUAAACAAUUGGUUGGGUGGAUGCAGUCAGAGGGUUGUGGUAGAUGGAUUUAUGACUAGGUGGAGGCCAGUCAUGAGUGGUGUUCCUCAGGGCUCUGUCCUGACACCAGUGCUCUUCAAGAUCUUUAUCAAUAACAUAGUGGGAUCAAGUGUACCUUCAGCAAGUUUGCUGAUGACACCAAGAUGAGUGGUGCAAUUGACACAAUAAAAGGAAGAGAUGCCAUUCAGAGGGAUCUGGACAGGCUUGAAAAGUGGUCCCAUGCAAACCUAAUGAGGUUCACCAAGGCCAAGUGCAAGGUUCUCAAGAAUUUCAAGCCAAAGCCUUCACUCAGUUUCAACUAGAAUUAGGUACAUUGGACUUUACCACAAGUUGUCUGGAAUUUGCAGCCUUCCCAGUGAAUUCAAUGGAGUUUCAGUCUUAUGACAUUUUCUUACCCAGGGAAAAUUUCUUGAUUAGCUUUCUUUUUUUCAGAGUUGCUGGGAUUGCAACUGAUCUGAAAAUCAGCCUUUAUUAUCCAUCAAAAGACAACAAAGCUUUGUCAGACAGAAUUUUGGAGCUUCAUGACCACUGAAAGGAUCCCAACUAUCUGAUAAAAAAGGGGCUCAAGUAGUUUUGUAAUAAGUAUAUUACUUAAUGUUUGACACUGCAACUAGAAGCAUGCGAAAUCUUUUCUGCUUCAGUGAUCAAGAAUAAUCAAGGAAGUUAAAUCGCAAAAUUUAUUAUCAAGCUGCUAAUCCUUGGAGUUUUGUUUUGUUUUUGCUGUGUUUCAAGGAAGAAGUUACCAAAACUGUUAACUUAGUUUUCCCAUGUUUCCUUAACUCAGGCUGCAAAUACUAGUACGAAAUGUUUACAUGCAAACCUUACUGUAAUGAAAAUGAAAGAAUAUAUUGAUUUAAUUUCCAAAUUAUUAAUCAUCUUCACAGCUGAACAAAAAUAUUGUAUUGCUCAGCUCAAGCAAAUCCUAACAUCUUUGCCUCUGGCUAUGAGUCCAAGAACUGAUGAAGGACGAAAUAGUAAUAUAUGUACUGUAUGUGUCUGUGGAAGAUCAGCAUUCUUAGAGAAUAAACUUACAAGCUGUGCAUCAAAAAUAAUAAUAAUAAUAAUAAUAAUAAAUUUGUAAUAUUCAGGUGAAUGAAAAAUCACAGAGGAACAAAGUAAGUAAAGGAUGAUCUGUCUUCAAGACAAAAAAUUUCCAUGCAAACUCACUAAGAGAGUGAAACAGAAAUAGCACAGGAUAUAGCAAUACAACAAAUAAUGGCCCCAUUAGAGAUAGUGCCUCGGGAAAUUUGACUUUUUAAAGUAUUUUUCCAGUGUAUCGGUCUUCUUGCAGAAACAGACGUUGAUAACCAAGGGGAAUGGAUGGCCAGACUGCAGAAGAGGAUAUCAGUUAGAGGACUGUGCAAACGAUACGGAGCGUUGGGUUUGUAUAGUAGAACUAGAAAUAUAAGAUAGUGAGCAGCAUGCCAGAUCAGCUUGCUAGAUUUUGGAAGACUCCAAAGUGUUAUAAUGAUAGAAGCUGCAGUGUGCACAACUCAAGGGAGAGUCUGUCAACUGCAAGUGCCCAGAUCCCACAGAAUCACUGAGCUACCUGGUUUUCAGGGAACUAAAUCAUUUGUAUAAUGUCAAAAAUUAAUAGCACAAAAGAAAAAAAUACAUAUGAAUGGCACAAACUCUGUUAAAGCGGUCUGAUCUCUCAUAAUAUUUUUUUUAUUACGAGGUAAGAAAAACAGAAACAACACUAAAAACUUAUUCAGUAAUUUCAAAAUUUGACCUGAAUUUGACCUCAGACUGAACUAAGAAUGAACUGAUAAACACUUACACCUAUUAAGUUACAGCAAAAUCACCAGAUGAUGUUUGGUUUUUUUUCUGAACAUUUUUUCAGUCUUACCCAUAGCCCCAGAUUUUUGGGUCAGAUCUUGGUUGGAGAUAUGCCUGCACUGCCAAUCAGAAUUUGGGUAUCAUAGAAUGACUGGGGUUGGAAGAGACCUCAAGAUCACCCAGUUCCACUGUGUGCAAAGUUGCCAACCACAAAAUCAGGCACUAUAUCAGGCUGCCCAGGGCUCCAUCCAACUCGGCCUUUAGCAGUUCCAGGAAUUGGAAUCGCAGCUUCUCUGGGCAACCUCUGCUAAGGCUUCACAACAUCAUGGUAAUCACUAUCCAGGACAACAAAUACGUUGAACUCCUUCAACGUGAAAUGGAGCAAGUAUCAACAUUUUGUAAUAAGGUGCUAACAAUAGUUUAUGAUUAUUUGCUGCAAAUUGUCUAACCCCUAGAGGCAGUUACCACACUGUCCUCAAGAGUUUGGCAAUGGCACAGCCUCAGUUCCUCAGUUUACCCAUCUUUUCUGCCUGUCAGAGGCCAGUUGUCUAAUCUUAUCUUCUGCUUUCUUAGUAAGCCUAAUGCUGUAGGAGUGAGACAGAAUUACAAACUGAUGGAUAGAUUUACAAACUGAUAAGUUUUCCUGAUGGUGAAGAGAUGAUGAUGCAUGUCCGUACUCCUGGGCAGCUCUGUAGCUAUGCCAGGGACUUGACACUCUGCUCUAGCAGAAGAUUUUGGGGCUUUUUCUUUUCCCAUGAUAGAAGACGACUGUUUCUGUUCUCUCUGCAGCCUUAGGCCUCCACCACCACUCUAACUUCAUCCCUGGAAGUGUUCAAGAAACAUGAAUAUUAGGCACUGAGGAACAUGGUUAGUGAUCAUGGUGGAGAUGGCUGGGCUAGAGGAUCUUAGUGGUCUUUUCCAACUUUAAUGAUUCUUUUUAUGAUUAUGAAUACAUCAUAGUGAUGUAUUUUCUUUCUCUACAUAAGAACUAUGUCCUUAUUUUCUAAUCAGUUAAAAGAUAGAAGAGUAAUGGCUUUUGAAAUACACAUGGUAUACAAAAAUCUCCUGGCCAGGUCUUUGAUGGACAUCCAUAUGGUUCAACAGAGAUGAACAUGUUGGUAGAGCAUGUAGACUCUGACAGGACAUCCCGAUUCUAUUAAAAUUCCUGUCCUUUGAAAACCUAUCUCCAAAAUGAUUCUCACCCAAGAGCAAAGGAGAUUCAAGUUGGAUAUUAGAAAAAAUUUCAUCUCUGAAAGGGUAGUCAGGUGCUGAAAUGGGCUGCCCAGGGAGACAGUUGAAUCACCAUUCCUGGAGGUGUCCAAUAAAUGUUUAGAUGUUGUACUAAGGGACAUGGCUUAGUGGGGAAGUAUUGGUGGUAAGUGGACAGUUGGACUGGAUGAUCUUGGGGAUCUCUUCCAACCUUGGUGAUUCAGUGAUUUGGUGAUUUUGCUAGACUGUGUAGGAACAGACUGGCUAUGAAGCAUUUACAGUUUAAAUACAGGGAUCAGGAUAUUAUACCUCCAAAGAUGAAGAUCUGAAAGUUAAUGAUCCAGAUUUCUCGUGUUGUGUUAGGGAUUGUUUCCAAGUUGCAAGGUUGAAUUCUGUGGCAACCCGAAGGGCAAGCAGUUACUCCAUUGUGCUUCAUAUAGAAGCAUCCAACCAGACUGAUGUUACCACAGACACGAGUAUAGGCCAAAGAUAAGUUUUGAUGGCAGUUACAGAUUUCCAGCUCCACUGAUUAUCAUGUUCCAUCUAUUAAUUUCAACAAUAUGGAAAAAGAUACAAACUUUGCAAAUUGUGCAACUAUACACACUGAAAAAAAAUGUGUCUUUUAAAAUUCAGCCACCUGUGGGAAAGGAAUCAGAAGUAAUUCAACAGCAAAAACAAACAAACAAACAAACAAAAAACAUGUACAUCAAUAUAGCACAAAAAAUGAAUAAUCCCAUUCUCUGCAAAUUGGCUUGCCCCUUGUACUGUGUGGAUAUGAAAAGCAGUUGAAACCUCACUUUCAUCAGCACAUUAUACAAGUACUCUCUUAUCUAGUGAGUGCCCUGUCCUCUAACUGCAAUUCUUUAAUGAACAGGAGAUGAAAUUCACAAUGAGGUCACAGGAACUGGAAGGUGGAACAACAUUUAACUGUGUUCUUAUAUGACAUCUCUGUUAUUACCAAAAGGGGAACAGUGAAAUCAAAUGGGAAAUUGAAGAGGAUAGAGGCAGGAGAGGGAAUAGUCCACAACAAACUGUGAAUCUUUACUUUUCCGCUUUAAAUGAAUGAAACCAUAAACUUUAAUAGCGUUGGUGAAUGUGCCUUAUCAUUGACUGAAAAUCAGAUUUGGUAUCGAUUUGAUUUUUGGAAUAUUACUCAAUCAAGCACACUUAACUGCAGAAAUUUAGUAUUUUUAUAUCUUAAAAAAAUCAGUGCAAGCAAAUCUGCCAAGCCUCCCCCCUGGCUACAAGUCUAACAACUGUUGAAGGACAAAAGAUAAUAUAUGUGAAUACCAUUGCCAUGGUUCACUGGGUUAAAACAAACGGCCCCCAUUUGACCUUUAAAUUGAAGGGUUUCCCUUUAUAUCACUAGAGGCAAAAUGCAUGGACAUGAGUACAACAACAACAAAAAGGGGACUUGUGUAGCUGAGUUGUAUUUGAUUUGUGAGAUUUUUUAUUCGUUUUUAAGAGGAUAUUUUUUCAUUUCCUUUGGAGGGGAGUAAACCCAAAAGUCAAAUUGAUGAAGAGAAAUGGAAUCUGAAUCUGUCCUGGGUUACAUUCACUGCUGGUUGGUUGGUCACCCUGGGGGAAAUGAUAUGUGUGCAGCUGGGAUGAUGAAUUGGGUUUGUUUAAGUCAUCAUUACAUUGUACUUUUUUAUGGACCUUAGUAUUUAUAACACUUAAAGUUGAUUGAGUAAUGUGGGUUGCCUUGGCAUCCCCGCUGGUCAGCAGGGGUGACGGGCCUUGACAGCAAACAUGAAGAUAUUACUGCUCCAAGACUGGUCCAGGAUGUCGGGGUAAUCUUAAGCAAUCUGCUGCUUGCUCUUGUGUGUAAUGCACUGUUGAAAACUUUCCCUGUAAGUGCAUUUGAGUGCAUAUAUAUAGGCUUCUGUAUAUGUAUUUGGUGAAAAGCUCAUCCUACUUGGAAGUAAUACCAGAAAGCAGAUGCUUUAACUGAAUUAAUUUUUCACUUUGAAGCAAAAUUUGAGCUUAAAAAUAACAUCCUUAUAAAUCGGAAACAUAGUUGUUAAUAUAUGUAAUAAAUUCAUUCCUUUAGGUUAGUUUCCCUAUUUCUAAUGAACAGCAUUCAGCUUUGCAUAACCAUCAGGAGAAAAUAUAUGUCUCAGGAGCAAAAUGUGUUUACCUGCCUCUCCUUGACAGGAACAACAAUGUUAGACUCAUUAUCUUUAAGCCACCCUCCCAAAAUAAUGAACUCCAGGCAAAUGGGGCUGUGCAAGCAUCCAAAAAGUGAAGUUAGGAUGAAACUCUCAGCUAAGAGAGAUGGGCACUGCUCCAAUAUGAACAUAUAUUCAUUUGUAUCAUGUUUGAAAGCAAUAUGUUACAGCAGUGUACAUUACUACUUGUGAUUAUUAUCAACAUCAGCAUUUUACUGUAAAUAACAGAACAUGUUGAAUAUCUAAACCAAAAGGCAAAUCCUGAAAUUGUUUGUAGAUCUGGAUUUGACUGGGCAGCAUCGGUAGCAUGAACAAAGUCUCAAUUUAUCUAUAUGUGUACAAUCAGUAUUGUCCCUCCAGCAUGUGUGCUUAUGCAGGCAGACACACGUGAGUACAUACAGACAGAUGUGUCUGCACGUAUAAACCUUAACAUGGAAAAGCUCAGUGCUUGAAGAAUGGUAAAUGCCACAGCUAAGACACCCUGAUCAUUAGCACAUCAUGACGCAGUUUUCAGUAAUAGCUGAAUUUUCCCAGCAGCUCUGCCCCAUUCAAGAGAAAAGGAGUAGUGAGAAACUAGUCAGUAUCAUUUUUUAUUGUCUGUGGGUGACUCUGUGAUUAGUUUACUACACAUUAUCCUCAUCUCGUCUUUAAGAAAGAAUUACAACCUUGCUUGCCCACAUGUAGAGUUGUUUGAAAAUAUGAGACCUGAAAUUCUUCCUAUUGCAGAGGACGUUGAAGUGGAAUUUUACCUGGAACAUAAAGCAGAAGAGUCUCUUCUUACCUAGUUUUCCAUGCAUGUUUCCUAUCUCCACAUGCCUAAGACAAGAUCCGGUUUGAGGUCUUCUGUUACCCUUUCACCCACCUUCCUGGCUAUGUGUUCUCUACUGCUCUCUGCUCCCAUAUGGUUCAUCUUAAAUGAGAAAAAAAGGUCAUCAGAUGAGCUCCUAGAGUUAUCAGCACAUCCUAGGAGACUGCCUUCUAGGGAGGAACUGCAUUAAUACUCAUAGUUCCAUCUUUGUUAACAUUUGUUUUUUUCAACCUUACUAUCUUUCCAGUACUCAACUGUAUCAUGCAAUUUUAAAUGCUUUUCUUUCAAAGCAAGAGUUGCAUCACAAGGAAUCCCCGUGUCACACAAAUUUCCCAUUAUUUUACACUUAUUAGCACUUUGACUACUUUAGCUGAGAUGUUCCUAAAAUUUGUAGCCAGGAGAGAUACCUAGCAGGGAAAUUUUCAAUUGGACCAGUUCAUAUUAAAUAGGAAAAAAAAAAAAGUAGGAAAUAUAAAGUAAGGUCUUGUUAUAAGAACUUUUAGGGAAUCUUAGAGAAAGGAAAAUGAAAUACCAGUGCUAUUCGGUAUUUGUAUUUCCUGUAGUUACACACACCACAAAUACACCAGUAGAGACUCAGAGUUUUUGCUUGUUCCUGUCCUAAAACAAAGACCAGAUGUGGAAGUCAAACCUUAUUCUUAUUGUUCUGUUCUGAGAGGGCACACAUUUGACUCAUUAUGGGUCAAAUGGUGCUUUUAUUUACAUCCACAUCAAUUUUAAGGAACUAUGCUAAUUAUAGGAGAGGUUGCUAUGUCUGAGUAUCAUUUGUUUUAGCAAUAAUCAAAAAGGAUAUGUGCUGCUACCCAAUGGAUUGCCAUAAAAAAAAAAAUUCCUUUCUUGAAGGAAUAGCACAAGUGUGACAAGGAAAUGUUCACUGAUACAUCUUUUACUAAUGGGCCCUACAAUGAAAACAAGAGAGAGUAAAGAUAAUGAAAUUUUUCAAUAGGCCAGCACCUGUGCAGAGCCCCUUCUGUUUUUUCCCACCUCACUGAUGGCAAAAAAAAAAAAAAAAAAAAAAAAAAAAAAAAAAAAAAAAAAAAAAAAGCCAACAAAACAACAGAACCACAGAUAGUCAAGAUCACCCCUUCCUUUGCUUUUCGUUGGGUAUGAACAGCAAAAAGAAGCUAUGUUGGCCAUAAACAAUGAGUGAAACUGCAUUAAUGGUAUGCUACAGAUAACACAAGCAAAAUUCAGGAGGAGCUGGCUAACACAUACACACCCCUUUUUGUGUUUUUUUUGUAGGCUUCAUUAAUUGUCAUCUGCUGUGUGAAAUGCAAAUCUAAUUGAAAUUUCUCACUAAUCAAGUGCAUCCUUCUAAUGAAGGCGUAUGACAGUUGUGUUCUGUGCAAAGUGCUACCUAAUGUGAAAUUCAAGUAAACACUUUAAUUACUUUAAAAGCCUAUUAAGGCAGAUUUUUAAGUGCAGUAUGUGGCCAUUUGCAUUGUCACCCAAUUUGUACACAGGCGGAACUACAAACACAUAUUCAGUGUGCAGAUGCAAAUUCAGUGCUUAACGAACCAGGUCCUGAAAAUGAUUCUUAACUGACUGGCCAGCGCACGGAUCAAUAAUAAGGCCCAGGAAGCCCUUCAAUCCUGUAUUGUCAUUUCAAAUCCAAGCUAUAAGUGCUCAUCUACAAGGGCUGUAAUUUAUUGCUUUAUUAAAAUUUUGUGGGAGUGAUAAAUCUACCAUCUGAACACAGAGGGUCAGAUGCAGAUGCCCUGUUUGACUUUUCUCCUGUGCUCACUAUGAUGGCUUUGCUGGGCUAUGCCGUACGCUUGGAUACUCUGAUGUUGCAGCUAUGUCUGGAGAUGAGUAUAUUCUCCACCCCCUCAAUGGAUGGAGAGAACUGCUCCCUGCAGCACUUCUGAUAGUUUUUGAUGUGUCCCAUCCAUAGAGAUGAUCAAGGUCAGGUUGGAUGGGCACUGGGCAGCCUGAUCUGGUGGGAGGCAACCAGCCCAUGGCAGGGGUUGGAAGUGGGUGAUCUUUAAGGUCCCUUCCAACUUAAACCAUUCCAUGAUUCUGUACUACAAGAUCCUUCCUCAGAAGCAAGGCAGUUUCAAACAGCUGUAAUCAUAGAAUCAUGUAAUAACCUGAGUCGGAAGGAACAUAUAAGGAUCACUGAGUCCAACUCCUGGAGUCCAUCAAGUCCAAAUCCCAGACAAGAGCUGCAGAUAUCAAAAAAUCCCCCCUAGCUUCCCUAAUGCUGCUUUAGUCAUGGGAUAUAUAGCAAAAGAGUGAAAGAACAUGGGGAAAGCUCAGUGAGGAGCCAGAUUCAAGGAUCCUGCCUACUAGGUUGUUUUGAAUUUGGUUUCUGAAGAAAGUUACAAGGAAAUAGUUCUAGCAGGGGUUAUUUAAUCUUCACUUAGACUUUACUUGUCUUGCUGAGGAAGCAGAACAAGGAUGAAGUCCUACUGAGACCACCUAGAAAUAGUUGAGUUUCAGCAAAAAAGCCUAAACUGCUUCAGGUCUGUGUUCUGUUGUAUUUUGUUUGUUUGUUUGUUUUUGAAUGAUAACCAUAAAUGCUAAAAGUAGGGGAAAUCUGUGUUCAGAGAGAACAUCUUCAUUGCACUGAGGGAAAUUUCUUCAAUAUCACGUUUCAUUUUUUCUGCAUAGGCAGGAGGGGUGAGGCUCAAUACACCACCCUUAUAGCAAGUGAAUACCCCUGGUCCUUGCUAGUGUUUGUAAGAAAUAAUAGCAUGUGGUAUCCCUUAGGAUCUCCUCAGCAUCUCUCACUUAUUCACCCUACAGAAGCAAGAGCAGGAAAAUCAAGGUCACCCUGUUCAAGACCUCUAUUCAGUGUUCUAAGAUGGUUUGAAAUAAUUCAGUGUCUGGAAAACAUCUUCCUACAUUAAAGUUCCUGACAUUAUCUUGGCUUUUGUUUCUUUGUUUGUUUUUGUUUUUGUUUUUGUUUCAUUUUCUUUAUUUUCUGAUGAUGGAAAGAGCUGGAUUGCUUGUUUUCUGUCUGUCAGAAGUUCCUUCUGUUUCCACGCUCUGCUAGAUAAUAACCUCCUUAAUGCAGUCUGUAAUACAUCCUUAAUACGGCUGUAAAACUGAAGAGUGGAAAAAGUGUCAACAAUAAAAAUUUCCAAAAUUCACUGUAAAUAACCCAUGAAUGUAUUCCUGCACCCCCACAGUCCAAAAUUUUUGCCUAUAAGACAUCAUCUGCACACACAGACUUUUUGCCAAGAGGCAGCACAGGUCCAGGUGGAGGUUUUCUCCCUAAAACUGCCUGCUAAUAAGCUGCCUUCCUUCCCAAGUAAUGGUAACAUCGAAGACAAAUUGUCUUUGGCUUUUGAAAUUAAAAGGAACUAUUUAAAAACAGAAGUGCUGUUCCAAAGCAUUUGAAAGAUUUCAUGAAGCAAAUGUGUUUUGUUGCAUGUUGUUCAAAUUAUCAAACUCCUGCUCCAAAAUGCCAAAACAGCAAAGUCAUUUUCAUUGUCAGAUUGCAAAAUGCAAACAACUUUCUCUUUUCCUUGCUGAGGGGCCUAUUUUGCCAGCACUCUUCAGUAUGAAUGGAUUAAUUCAUUCCUCCACAAGUGAAGUUCACGCACAGGCUGAGUAACAGAUAAUUGCCAACAUACAAGUGAGCUCUACCCUGAACUUCUGAAUUAAAUAAUUUGUAGGGUAUGCAGAGAGGCAAACAUUGCCAUCGUUGCAAGAAUUCUACUGAAAUUGUAUUAUUUUAUCCUCUAAGCAUUUGUCUCUACAGCUACCUUUCCAUGAACACGCAUACAUGACAGUAAAAAUUAAGAGGUGCCAAUAGCCUUAGAAGAUUCUGGCUUCUAGGCUGACAAAGAUAAAGGAACCCAAUACUAAAGCAGCUGUUUCAUUAUAUGAUAUUACUUCGUUGCAUGCAUUGCUUGAACAACUAAGAUUUGAAAAUUUUCAAGCAAUAUGUUAUCUGUACUUCCAUAAGAAGAAAAAUAUUAACUCCAGGUUUUGCACCACAGACUGGAAAUUUCAACGUGGGUCUGCAAGCAGGACUCUUUAAUCUCAGAGGACAACUCUACUUGCUGAGUAGCUCUGAAAAUUCUGACUGCUACUACUGUUCAUCUUGAAGACUGUACAACUCUGAUCACCAAUGUGAUUUAUACAGGAAUGAGGUCUUCAACUGAAUACCUAACUUCUGUAGACCACACUUUUGAAUGUAUAAAUGUUCAGUGCAGAACACACCAUAAACCUCUUCUUCAGCUGAGAGCAGCCCUAUCAUUAGCCUGUCAAGACUAACAGUCGGAUUUGUAAAGACAUUUAAUAGUCAAUUAGCAAAAGAUACUGUUCUCAAAAGGUUCCGGGUGCCCAAUUUCUCUUAAAUCGGUGGAAAGGAUCAUGGGUGAGGUGGAAAAGGUAUAGAUGUUGAAACAGACUUCUAAAGGUGCCAUGGGUGCCUACCCAAACACUUGCAUGCAGGAAUUAGGCACUCAGACACAACUGAAACUACUGUUUGAUGGCUAAAUCAGCCCAAGCCCCAGGGAAAGUAUUUGCGUAUCUCCUUUCAUUUCUGCAUUUAGAGAUCUUUAAUGGGAGCAGUAGUCAUCAUUUUUUUAAAACAAAUUUUAAUUUUAUAGGAAAAAAGUUAUUACUUUUCUUUUUGUUUAUCUGCUUUUUCACUCCUGGUAAGAAACUUGCAUUUAAAAUUUCAAUGAAGAUGGUUUAAGAUGAUGGUUAGGCAGGUUUGUUUGGAUUCCGACUGAGAAGCUGGCAUUGUUAUUUAGUGAGUGCAGCUCAGUGAAAUUAAUAGUUUGAAACAUUACACUGAGGAUAAUGCAGAAAGAGAAUAGAAAACAUCAUCUACCAUAUGAAAACUGUAUCUUAUUUCUUUAAACUCUUUCUGUUUUAAUUAAAUCAGAGAUUAUUGCUUGUAUAUAAGAAACUUCAUUUUUGAAUAUGUGUUUUCUACUGAAGCUGUUGUUUUCUUAGGAAAUCAACAGCACUAAAAGUUUUUAUUUAAUUCUAGCAAACAAGAAUGAAUGCAUUGCCAAUGAUGUUUGUGUCACUUGCUCCACUUUAAUAUCUGCCUGUAGGUACUCUGACUGAACAAGCCAGAAAGGUAUAAUUGUGUAAUGCUAUUUCAGUUUUUACGAAUGAUGAGAAAAAAAAUCAGAGCAAGAAACAGAGAUCUACAAAAGUCCUUCGAAUUGACUCUAAACGAAAUUCUGUUUAGGUCCACAUACUUCUACUGGUAGUGCAUACGAGACGUAUGAUAAGAUAAUGAUAAUAAUGUCAAUUCUCUCUUUCUUAGGCAGGGAAUAAGAUUACAUAGACUUUGUUACUACAGAGGCCUAUCACUGCUGCAAAAGCCUGCACUGUGAAUGAAAUGGUAUUUGCCUGUUUAUGUGAAGAAUGAUGAAACUUUAAAUGAAUCAUUGACCUUUCUUGAAUGACAUGUGACCUGUAAGAUAUCUGAGCUGUAUAUCAAGAGCAGUUCUUGAAAAUUGCUGUCUGCUGACCGAAAAUAAACAAUAAGAUAUCAAAUAUGGUUUGAAAAAAAUUGACUUGGUUUAACACUGGGGGGAAAAAAAUGAAUUAUUUUGACUCACCAGUCAGAACACAUCAAUUCAUUUCAAAUCAUCCUUCAUCUAGAAACUGGAAGGGCUACUUCUUGGCUUUAAAGCUGCUUAUGUCUGAGCAAUUGCUAUUUACCAGAAUGCAUGCUUUAUUUAAACAAUAACCAGCAGUAAUAAAGAAGCUGUAAAUGCAGGAAUUGUUGGGAUGAGAUGGAUUCUGCAAAAAGAGUG
rnacentral:lncRNA from 1 species